rnacentral:tRNA from 1 species
AGAAAGAAUUUUGGAACUGCUAAUUCCAUAUCCCAUAAAUAACACUAUGGCUUUCUU